CCUACGGGAGGCAGCAGUGGGGAAUAUUGCACAAUGGGCGAAAGCCUGAUGCAGCCAUGCCGCGUGUAUGAAGAAGGCCUUCGGGUUGUAAAGUACUUUCAGUUGUGAGGAAGGGGGUGUCGUUAAUAGCGGCAUCUCUUGACGUUAGCAACAGAAGAAGCACCGGCUAACUCCGUGCCAGCAGCCGCGGUAAU
rnacentral:rRNA from 2 species